GGGCCAUAGCUCAGUGGUGGAGCACCUGCCUUGCAAGCAGAUGGUCCCAGCUUCAAUAUCUGGCAUCUCCA